AGGUUACUCCGCGAGAGAUGUGACAAAAUCCUAACGACUGAUAUAAAUAGCUUAAAAUCAGAAGCCAAAAAUUUAAUCAAGAAGGAUCCUAAAUACUUUUGGUCUUUCAUAAAAUCUCUACGAUCAAAUAGCAGCGAUAUACCGGAUGAAAUGACUUACUUAGAUCAAAGCGUUCAAGGUGGCCAGCAGAUUGCCAAUUUUUUUUUCAGAAUACUUUCACUCAACCUAUCAGCAUGACCCAAACCCAAGAACUAAACACAAUGAAAUCGUCGAAUGCCACAUGUCACUUAGUUUAUAUCGUUUCACAGACUCAGAUGUCAUAUCAACGCUCAAAAGCCUAGAUGCAAAUAAAGGUCCUGGUCCAGAUUCUAUACCUCCUAGUUUCUUAAACACAAAAUUGGCUGAGGCUCUACGAAUCAUUUUCAAUAAGUCUUUACUAUGUGGAACUUUUCCCUCAAGAUGGAAGGUUGCGCACAUCAGUCCAAUUCACAAGAAGGGAGAUCCUGGAGAUAUUACUAACUACCGGCCCAUCUCAAUUUUGUCUGCUAUCGGUAAAGCUACUGCUGCACCCAUUGAGGGAGCUCCCCUGGUCGCCGGGAGGGGAGCUGCGCGGCGCACUAGUGGAGGGCGUGGGGGAGUGCUGCUUGAAGUUCCGCAUCAGAGGCUUGUGGUUGUCUGAGGAGUGCUGCCACGACCAGCACGAGCGGCAGAAGUAUCUGGACAAGAUAGACCAUGGAACUAAUGAAAAUAUCUUACAAUGCA